UUUUAUCUCUCUACAACCUUCUCUCUCUCUUUCGAAUGAUUCUAGAACCUUCAUGAAUCCCUCCUCCUCCACCACCACCACCACCACCAGCAGCUUCAUGGACCUCUGCCUUCACUGCCGUCCAACAUUCGAUGCCUUCACUGCCUUCAUGAACUGCGUAGCCGAACACGCAGAACUCUGAACUGCGUAGCCGAACACGCAGAAUUCUGAACCCGGUUAAGCUCACUGUACAGACUCGUAAAAGAA
rnacentral:lncRNA from 1 species